GACGAACGCUGGCGGCGUGCUUAACACAUGCAAGUCGAACGGAAAGGCCCCUUUGGGGGUCCUCGAGUGGCGAACGGGUGAGUAACACGUGAGUAACCUGCCCUUGACUUCGGGAUAACUUCAGGAAACUGGGGCUAAUACCGGAUAGGAAUCCUUGCUGCAUGGUGGGGGUUGGAAAGCUUCGGCGGUUUUGGAUGGACUCGCGGCUUAUCAGCUUGUUGGUGGGGUAGUGGCUUACCAAGGCUUUGACGGGUAGCCGGCCUGAGAGGGCGACCGGCCACAUUGGGACUGAGAUACGGCCCAGACGCCUACGGGAGGCAGCAGUGCGGAAUAUUGCACAAUGGGCGGAAGCCUGAUGCAGCAACGCCGCGUGCGGGAUGACGGCCUUCGGGUUGUAAACCGCUUUCAGCAGGGGCGAAGCUUGUGGUGACGGUACCUGCAGAAGAAGCACCGGCUAACUACGUG
rnacentral:rRNA from 1 species